rnacentral:tRNA from 1 species
GCUGGCGUGGCGUAAAGGUAACGCGUUCCCUUCCUAAGGGAAAGAUUUGCGGGUUCGAUCCCCGUCGCUAGUU